ensembl:lncRNA
CCAGACAUCAGAACAACUUAUUUUGGUUUCAAUCGAUCGCUGUUGGAUAACUUGUAUUAAACCAAAAAAGAUGGCCUCAAGUUGUCGAAAACCAGAGCAUAUUGCCCCGCUUAAAAAUGUUCUACAACGAAGAGGAGGCCAAUAAAUAUUUUCAAAAUUCUCGGGUGAUUGCGAUCCAGGGCCAGAUGUUCUAGAGGGCUGUGGAGCUGCUGAACCUGCCUGAGGACCAGCCCUGUAUCCUGCUAGAUGUGGGGUUCCUCCUGUGUCUGUUGGUUGGGUUUUCAGGAAGCCUACCCAAGGGGUUGGGGUCAGAGACGGUGGACAGGAGUGUCCCAAAUCAAGUCCAAUUCACAGGACGGAGGUAAAGUGAUUCAUAAGAUUGUCAACUUUAGACAUGUUGUAAAGCUUAAUUACCAUCAUUAUGUUAAAGAAAAUACCUAUUAAUAAAAGUACUAGCAUAGUUGGGUAGAUGUCAUUGGGCAGGUCUUUUCCUCAGGUCAGGCCAGGCACAUUUCCCUGCCCUGAUGAGGUUGAAGGACCCAGAUGGACAUAGAGGGCUGUCGUCCUGCCUGACUACAGUUACUGUCCGGCAGCUUUUCCUCCCUCUGACAUCACAUGAUCAAGCAGAUGGGGAUUUGGGAAACUCACUGCUCAGCCUGUAGGGUCUCCACUUGCGCCUGCUGAAUAGCUAGCUUUAUGGGUCAGCCGCUUCAGGUGGGUGGUCACGGGUGUUUGCAGUGUUUGCUGGGUUCCAGCCUUAGUAUGAGCCGAAUCAGGAGGAAGUGGUACUCGUUUAGCAAGCAGCGUGACGUCCUUUACAAUCUGUCACGAGACAUAGAGCAGAUUGAAGUUAAAGUUGAGUAAAAACAACUACAGGAUUAAAGAUUAGAGCUGCGGUGUCUCGAUCCCUUCCUGUGUCUGCUGUUGGUCAUUUCCUGUUUGUCUUCGUGAAGAUCUCGCUUUAAGAACAUGAAGGGCAAGUCUGCAAAGAAGGGAGAAGACUGGAUCCUGGAGGGGAGGAGAAGACAGGGCGGGUUUGUACCCCUCUGUCUACACUGUCUCAUUGAGAAGACAGGGCAGGUUUGUACCCCUCUGUCUACACUGUCUCACAGGUUAACAUUAGUACCAUCAACUUAUUACAUUCAUAUAGCUUACAACCCCAUUUGGAUGAAGCCAGUAGGCUCUGUAACAGAAAGGCUGGUCUCUUACUGUCUGUGGUGUGUUCUGUCUCUCAGGGAGGUCCGAGCUGACACAACGUACACUGCCCUGCAGAGAAGGACUCACUUCUGAACCCCAGUCAGUCCUGUGUGUUCCGGGCCUGGAGAUUCACCCUUAUGGAAUACUACUGUCCUGUGGACAGAAUCUGGACAGAAACUGGCCCCUCUCGAGGACAUGGUCCCAAUCCUCUGGACAGAAACUGGCCCCUCUCUAGGACAUGGUCCCAAUCCGCUGGACAGAAACUGGCCCCUCUCUAGGACAUGGUCCCAAUCCUCUGGACAGAAACUGGCCCCUCUCUAGGACAUGGUCCCAAUCUUCUGGACAGAAACUGGCCCCUCUCUAGGACAUGGUCCCAAUCCUCUGGACAGAAACUGGCCCCUCUCUAGGACAUGGUCCCUAUCCUCUGGACAGAAACUGGCCCCUCUCUAGGACAUGGUCCCAAUCCUCUGGACAGAAACUGGCCCCUCUCUAGGACAUGGUCCCAAUCCUCUGGACAGAAACUGGCCCCUCUCUAGGACAUGGUCCCAAUCCUCUGGACAGAAACUGGCCCCUCUCUAGGACAUGGUCCCAAUCCUCUGGACAGAAACUGGCCCCUCUCUAGGACAUGGUCCCAAUCCUCUGGACAGAAACUGGCCCCUCUCUAGGACAUGAUAGACAUCAACAACAAAUGGACAGCAAAGAAAAUAAAUGCCCCUCUCUGAUCUUUGACCCAUUCUUCUGGACUAGAUCAUUUCCCCUCGAGCUGCAUAUUCUAUUUUAAAUGUUUGAUGUGGACCUUUUGUUUGAAAGCUUGAAUUAAACAUGUUCUCUAACAUGUCUUUAACUGCACUGUUGGUAAAGGCCUUGAGAGGAAGCCAUUUCACGGCAUGUGACAAAUAAAACUUGAUUUGAUAGAUUUGUUUCAUCGGCCCAUAUCAAUCCCAGUGAAUAUUCAUGUCAUUUGGAGGCCAAUUGUCAACCCAGUGAAUAGUCAUGUAAUUUAGAGGCAAAUAGUCAUGUAAUUUAGAGGCCACUAGUCAUCCCAGUGAAUAUUCAUGUCAUUUAGAGGCCACUAGUCAUCCCAGUGGUUAGUUAUAUCAUUUAGAGGCCACUAGUCAUCCCAGUGGUUAGUUAUAUCAUUUAGAGGGCACUAGUCAUCCCAGUGGUUAGUUAUAUCAUUUAGAGGGCACUAGUCAUCCCAGUGGUUAGUUAUAUCAUUUAGAGGCCACUAGUCAUCCCAGGCCUGUGGGCUACAUGUAAUUAUUUUGAGAUCUGUCGUAUUAUAUUGUCGAUAGUUUCGUUCAUCUGAAUGCAGUUAUUAACUGAACAACGUGUCUUAUCUCUGUAAUAAUAAACAUGUUCUCUACACGUGACUCAGCUCUUCUCCAAGCUGUUGGAAGGGUCUAUGAACGAGAUCAC